UGCAGUCGAACGAGAAAGUCACUUCGGUGGUGAUUAAAGUGGCGCACGGGUGAGUAACGCGUAGACAAUCUGCCCUUCAGUCUGGGACAACUUUUCGAAAGGAGAGCUAAUACCGGAUAACAAUGUUUGACAUAAGUUAAAUAUUUGAAAGCUUUAUGUGCUGAAGGAGGGGUCUGCGUCCCAUUAGCUAGUUGGUGAGGUAAAGGCUUACCAAGGCAACGAUGGGUAGCGGGUUUGAGAGGACGAUCCGUCACACUGGAACUGAGACACGGUCCAGACUCCUACGGGAGGCAGCAGUGGGGAAUAUUGCACAAUGGAGGAAACUCUGAUGCAGCAAUGUCGCGUGAGUGAAGAAGGCCCUUGGGUCGUAAAGCUCUUUUAUGGGGGAAGAUAAUGACGGUACCCCAGGAAUAAGCACCGGCUAACUACGUGCCAGCAGCCGCGGUAAUACGUAGGGUGCGAGCGUUGUUCGGAAUUACUGGGCGUAAAGGGCGCGCAGGCGGAAUAGCAAGUCGGAGGUGAAAGCCCGGGGCUCAACCCCGGAGGGUCUUUCGAAACUGCUGAUCUAGAGAGGGUCAGGGGCCAGCAGAAUUCCUGGUGUAGAGGUGAAAUUCGUAGAUAUCAGGAGGAAUACCGGUGGCGAAAGCGGCUGGCUGGGGCCACUCUGACGCUGAGGCGCGAAAGCGUGGGGAGCAAACGGGAUUAGAUACCCCGGUAGUCCACGCCGUAAACGAUGAGCACUGGACGUCCGGAGGGUUCGACCCUUCUGGGUGUUUCAGCUAACGCAUUAAGUGCUCCGCCUGGGGAGUACGGUCGCAGAUA
rnacentral:rRNA from 1 species